rnacentral:rRNA from 1 species
GACGAACGCUGGCGGCGUGCCUAAUACAUGCAAGUCGAACGAGAGCGACCGGUGCUUGCACUGGUCAAUCUAGUGGCGAACGGGUGAGUAACACGUGGGUAACCUGCCCAUCAGAGGGGGAUAACAUUCGGAAACGGAUGCUAAAACCGCAUAGGUCUUCGAACCGCAUGGUUUGAAGAGGAAAAGAGGCGCAAGCUUCUGCUGAUGGAUGGACCCGCGGUGCAUUAGCUAGUUGGUGAGGUAACGGCUCACCAAGGCCGUGAUGCAUAGCCGACCUGAGAGGGUGAUCAGCCACAUUGGGACUGAGACACGGCCCAAACUCCUACGGGAGGCAGCAGUAGGGAAUCUUCCGCAAUGGACGCAAGUCUGACGGAGCAACGCCGCGUGAGUGAAGAAGGUUUUCGGAUCGUAAAACUCUGUUGUUAGAGAAGAACAAGUGCUAGAGUAACUGUUAGCGCCUUGACGGUAUCUAACCAGAAAGCCACGGCUAACUACGUG